rnacentral:rRNA from 1 species
GUUAAACAGCUAGCCUAACCGCACGGAACUCCAAGUAAACGACCACACAUAGCCGGCCAACUCCUCCUCCCCAUAAAACAUUUUACCACCUAAGUAUAGGCGACAGAAAAGGAACAGACUUAGAGCGAUAGAAAAAGUACCGCAAGGGAAAGCUGAAAGAGAAGUGAAACAACCCAUAAAAACGACAAGAAGCAGAGACUAACCCUUGUACCUUUUGCAUCAUGGUUUAGCAAGUAAGAAUCAGGCAAAGAGAACUUUAGUUUGAAUUCCCGAAACUAGACGAGCUACUCCGGGGCAGCCUUAUAGGGCCAACCCGUCUCUGUUGCAAAAGAGUGGGAAGACCCCCGAGUAGAGGUGAUAAACCUACCGAGCCUAGUUAUAGCUGGUUGCUUAAGAAAUGAAUGUUAGUUCAGCCCUGUAUGACUCUACACCCAAAACAAUGCCUUUGACAUAAGGAAAAAGUAACUUGCAGGAGUUAGUCGAAGGGGGUACAGCCCCUUUGAAAUAGGACACAACCUUGUUUGGGAGGACAAGGAUCACAGUUUAAAAGGACAAGAUUACCUCAGUAGGCCCAAGAGCAGCCACCUGUAGAGAAAGCGUUAAAGCUCCGGUAAAAACAAGCCGAUAAUAAGGAUAUUAUACUCCUCACCCCCCAAAUAUAUUAAGCUAUUCUAUGCACCCAUAGAAGAAACAAUGCUAAAAUCAGUAAUAAGGGGGUGCCAGACCCCCUCCUAGCACAUGUGUAAGUCAGAGCGGACUAACCCCUGGCAAUCACCGGACCCAAGCGAAGAGGGAAUAAAAACGGAACACAACACACAAGAAAACACUAUUGAAACACAACCGUUACCCCAACACAGGUGUGCACCAAGGAAAGACUAAAAGGGGAGGAAGGAACUCGGCAAACACAAACCUCGCCUGUUUACCAAAAACAUCGCCUCUUGCCAACAAAGAAGUAUUAGAGGUCCCGCCUGCCCUGUGACCGCAAAGUUUAACGGCCGCGGUAUCCUGACCGUGCGAAGGUAGCGUAAUCAUUUGUCUUUUAAAUGAAGACCUGUAUGAAUGGCAUAACGAGGGUUUAACUGUCUCCCUUCCCCAGUCAAUGAAAUUGAUCUACCCGUGCAGAAGCGGGUAUAUAACCAUAAGACGAGAAGACCCUAUGGAGCUUUAGACAAAGGAUCGCGCAUGUAAAGAGGGCCUAUUAUCCAAAGGGACUACAGUGGCCGUGAAACCAAAUGUACAACGAACCGAGUGUCUUCGGUUGGGGCGACCAUGGGGGAGAGAAAAGCCCCCACGAGGAACGGGGAAACCCUGAGCUAAGAGGGACACCUCUAAGCAGCAGAAAAUCUGACCGCAACUGACCCAGGACGACGCUCCUGAUCAACGAACCAAGUUACCCUAGGGAUAACAGCGCAAUCCUCUCCCAGAGUCCAUAUCGACGAGGGGGUUUACGACCUCGAUGUUGGAUCAGGACAUCCUAAUGGUGCAGCCGCUAUUAAGGGCUCGUUUGUUCAACGAUUAAUAGUCCUACGUGAUCUGAGUUCAGACCGGAGUAAUCCAGGUCGGUUUCUAUCUAUGAUAUUUCUUCUUCCUAGUACGAAAGGACCGGAAUGAAGGGGGCCAAUACUAACAGCAAGCCUCACCCUUACCCGCUGAAAACAGAUGAAUCGGGCAAAAGGACAUAUUCCACACCCAGAAAUAAUGGCAU